GAUGAACGCUGGCGGCGUGCCUAAUACAUGCAAGUCGAGCGAACAGACGAGGAGCUUGCUCCUCUGACGUUAGCGGCGGACGGGUGGGUAACACGUGGAUAACCUACCUAUAAGACUGGGAUAACUUCGGGAAACCGGAGCUAAUACCGGAUAAUAUAUUGAACCGCAUGGUUCAAUAGUGAAAGACGGUUUUGCUGUCACUUAUAGAUGGAUCCGCGCCGCAUUAGCUAGUAGGUAAGGUAACGGCCUACCAAGGCAACGAUGCGUAGCCGACCUGAGAGGGUGAUCGGCCACACUGGAACUGAGACACGGUCCAGACUCCUACGGGAGGCAGCAGUAGGGAAUCUUCCGCAAUGGGCGAAAGCUUGACGGAGCAACGCCGCGUGAGUGAUGAAGGUCUUCGGAUCGUAAAACUCUGUUAUUAGGGAAGGACAAAUGUGUAAGUAACUAUGCACGUCUUGACGGUACCUAAUCAGAAAGCCACGGCUAACUACGUG
rnacentral:rRNA from 1 species